UGAGUUAGAUCCAGGCUCAGGACGAACGCUGGCGGCGUGCUUUACACAUGCAAGUCGAACGAUGAUCCAGAGCUUGCUCUGGUGAGUAGUGGCGAACGGGUAAGUAACACGUGAGUAUCCUGCCCUUGACUCUCGGAUAAGCGUUGGCAACGACGUCUAAUACCGGAUACGACCAGGCCCGGCAUCGGCUGUUGGUUGGAAGAAGUUUGGUCAAGGAUGGACUCGCAGCCUAUCAGGUAGUUCGUGAGGUAAUGGCUCACCUAGCCUACGACGCGUAGCCGGCCUGAGAGGGUGACCGGCGACACUGGGACUGAGACACGGCCUAGACUCCUACGGGAGGCAGCAGUGCGGAAUAUUGCACAAUGGUCGAAAGCCUGAUGCAGCAACGCCGCGUGAGGGACGACGGCCUUGGGGUUGUAAACCUCAUUUAGCAGGGAAGACGCGAAUGUGACGGUACCUGCAGGAAACGCACCGGCUAACUACGUGCCGGCAGCCGCGAUAAUACGUAGGCUGCAAGCGUUGUCCGCAAUUAAUGGGCAUAAUGAGCUCGUAGGCGGUUUGUCGCGUCUCCUGUGUAAACCCGAGGCUCAACCUCGGGCUUGCAGUGGGUACGGGCAGACCAGAGUGCGGUAGGGGAGAUUGGAAUACCUGGUGUAGCGGUGUAAUGCGCAGAUAUCAGGAGGAACACCGAUGGCGAAGGCAGAUCUCUGGUCCAUAACUGACGCUGAGGAGCGAAAGGCUGGGUAGCAAACAGGCUUAGAUACCCUGGUAGUCCACCCGGUAAACGUUGGGAUUUAGAUGUGGGGACCAUUCCACGGUCUCCGUGUCGCAGCUAACGCAUUAAGUUACCCGCCUGGGAAGUACGGCCGCAAGGCUAAACCUCAAAGGAAUUGACGGGGCCCGGCACAAGCGGCGGAGCAUGCGGAUUAACUCGAUGCAACGCGAAGAACCUUACCAAGUCUUGACAUAUACCGGAAACGGCGAGAGAUCGUCGCGCCGCAAGGUCGGUAUACAGGUGGUGCAUGGAUGUCGUCAGCUCGUGUCGUGAGAUGUUGGGUUAAGUCCCGCAACGAGCGCAACGCUCGUUCUAUGAUGCCAGCACGUAAUGGUGCGAACUCAUGGGAUACUGCCCGGGUCAACUCGGAGGAAGGUGGGCACGACGUCAAAUCAUCAUGGCCCUUAUGUCUUGGGCUUCACGCAUGCUCCAAUGGCCAGUACAAAGGACUGCAAUACCGUAAGGUGGAGCGAAUCCCAAAACGCUGGUCCGAGUUCGGAUUGAGGUCUGCAACUCGACCUCAUGAAGUCGGAGUCGCUAGUAAUCGCAGAUCAGCAACGCUGCGGUGAAUACGUUCCCCGGCCUUGUACACACCGCCCGUCAAGUCUUGAAAGUCGGUAACACCCGAAACCGGUGGCCUAACCCCUUGUGGGAAGGAGCUGUCUAAGGUGGGUUCGGUAAUUAGGACUAAGUCGUAACAAGGUAGCCGUACCGGAAG
rnacentral:rRNA from 1 species